rnacentral:rRNA from 1 species
CAGCCGCCACGGGAAUACGGAGGGUGCAAGCGUUAAUCGGAAUUACUGGGCGUAAAGCGCACGCAGGCGGUCUGUCAAGUCAGAUGUGAAAUCCCCGGGCUUAACCUGGGAACUGCAUUUGAAACUGGCAGGCUAGAGUCUUGUAGAGGGGGGUAGAAUUCCAGGUGUAGCGGUGAAAUGCGUAGAGAUCUGGAGGAAUACCGGUGGCGAAGGCGGCCCCCUGGACAAAGACUGACGCUCAGGUGCGAAAGCGUGGGGAGCAAACAGGAUUAGAUACCCGUGUAGUCCCUGUCUCUUAUAC